rnacentral:rRNA from 1 species
UGGGGAAUAUUGGACAAUGGGCGCAAGCCUGAUCCAGCAACGCCGCGUGGAGGACGAAGGUCUUCGGAUCGUAAACUCCUGUCAGGUGGGACGAAGGGGCGAUGGCAAAUAGUUGUCGUCUUUGACGGUACCACCAGAGGAAGCCCCGGCUAACUCCGUGCCAGCAGCCGCGGUAAUACGGAGGGGGCGAGCGUUAUUCGGAAUUAUUGGGCGUAAAGGGCGCGUAGGCGGCCUGACAAGUCAAAGGUGAAAUCCCUCGGCUCAACUGAGGAACUGCCUUUGAAACUGUUUGGCUUGAGGCCGGGAGGGGGUAGCGGAAUUCCCAAUGUAGCGGUGAAAUGCGUAGAUAUUGGGAGGAACACCAGUGGCGAAGGCGGCUACCUGGACCGGUUCUGACGCUGAGGCGCGAAAGCGUGGGUAGCAAACAG